UACGUAGGGUGCAAGCGUUAAUCGGAAUUACUGGGCGUAAAGCGUGCGCAGGCGGUGAUGUAAGACAGUUGUGAAAUCCCGGGCUCAACCUGGGAACUGCAUCUGUGACUGCAUCGCUGGAGUGCGGCAGAGGGGGAUGGAAUUCCGCGUGUAGCAGUGAAAUGCGUAGAUAUGCGGAGGAACACCGAUGGCGGAAGGCAAUCCCUGGGCCUGCACUGACGCUCAUGCACGAAAGCGUGGGGAGCAAACAGG
rnacentral:rRNA from 1 species